GUGCACCAGGCGAGAAACCUCCGCAAUACACGAAAGUGUGACGGGGCCAUCCCGAGUGCCGUCCGCUGAGGACGGCUUUUCCCCAGUGUACAUAGCUGGGGGAAUAAGGAGAGGGCAAGCCUGGUGUCAGCCGCCGCGGUAAUACCGAGCUCUCCGGAGUGGUGGGGACGCUUAUUGGGCCUAAAGCAUCCGGUAGCCGGCUAGGCAAGUCCUCCGUUAAAUCCAACGAUUCAAUCGUUGGGCUGCGGGGGAUACUGUCCAGCUUGGGAGCGGGAGAGGCCGACGGUAUUCCCGGGGUAGGGGUGAAAUCCUAUAAUCCCGGGAGGACCACCAGUGGCGAAGGCUGUCGGCUAGAACGCGCCCGACGGUGAGGGGAUGAAAGCUGGGGGAGCGAACCGGAUUAGAUACCCGUGUAGU
rnacentral:rRNA from 1 species